rnacentral:rRNA from 1 species
AUUCCAGCUCCAAUAGCGUAUACUAAAGUUGCUGCAGUUAAAAAGCUCGUAGUUGGAUUUCUGGUCGUGGUCGCCGGUCGUGCCCAAACGGGUUCUGUACCUGGCGCCCGCGUCCAUCCUCGGGGAGAGCGUGUCUGGCAUUAAGUUGUCGGGCUCGGGACCCCCGUCAUUUACUGUGAGCAAAAUAGAGUGUUCAAAGCAGGCUUAGGCCAUGAAUACAUUAGCAUGGAAUAAUAAGAUAAGACCUUGGUCUAUUUUGUUGGUUUGCAUUCCAAGGUAAUGAUUAAUAGGGAUAGUUGGGGGUAUUCGUAUUCAAUUGUCAGAGGUGAAAUUCUUGGAUUUAUGGAAGACGAACUACUGCGAAAGCAUUUACCAAGGAUGUCUUCAUCG